rnacentral:rRNA from 1 species
CGUAACGGGUCCAGCUUGCUGGAUGCCGACGAGCGGCGGACGGGUGAGUAAUGCAUAGGAAUCUGCCCGAUAGUGGGGGAUAACCUGGGGAAACCCAGGCUAAUACCGCAUACGUCCUACGGGAGAAAGCGGGGGCUCUUCGGACCUCGCGCUAUCGGAUGAGCCUAUGUCGGAUUAGCUGGUUGGUGAGGUAACGGCUCACCAAGGCGACGAUCCGUAGCUGGUCUGAGAGGAUGAUCAGCCACACCGGGACUGAGACACGGCCCGGACUCCUACGGGAGGCAGCAGUGGGGAAUAUUGGACAAUGGGGGCAACCCUGAUCCAGCCAUGCCGCGUGUGUGAAGAAGGCUUUCGGGUUGUAAAGCACUUUCAGUGGGGAAGAAGGCCUGCCGGUCAAUACCCGGCAGGAACGACAUCACCCACAGAAGAAGCACCGGCUAACUCCGUGCCAGCAGCCGCGGUAAUACGGAGGGUGCGAGCGUUAAUCGGAAUUACUGGGCGUAAAGCGCGCGUAGGCGGCUAAGUAAGCCGGUUGUGAAAGCCCCGGGCUCAACCUGGGAAUGGCAUCCGGAACUGUUUGGCUAGAGUGCAGGAGAGGAAGGUAGAAUUCCCGGUGUAGCGGUGAAAUGCGUAGAGAUCGGGAGGAAUACCAGUGGCGAAGGCGGCCUUCUGGACUGACACUGACGCUGAGGUGCGAAAGCAUGGGUAGCAAACAGGAUUAGAUACCCUGGUAGUCCAUGCCGUAAACGAUGUCGACUAGCCGUUGGGUCCCUUGAGGACUUAGUGGCGCAGUUAACGCGAUAAGUCGACCGCCUGGGGAGUACGGCCGCAAGGUUAAAACUCAAAUGAAUUGACGGGGGCCCGCACAAGCGGUGGAGCAUGUGGUUUAAUUCGAUGCAACGCGAAGAACCUUACCUACCCUUGACAUCCUGCGAACCCUCCGGAGACGGAGGGGUGCCUUCGGGAGCGCAGAGACAGGUGCUGCAUGGCUGUCG